UACGUAGGGUGCAAGCGUUGUCCGGAAUUAUUGGGCGUAAAGAGCUCGUAGGCGGUCUGUCGCGUCUGCUGUGAAAAUCCAGGGCUCAACCCUGGACCUGCAGUGGGUACGGGCAGACUAGAGUGCGGUAGGGGAGAUCGGAAUUCCUGGUGUAGCGGUGAAAUGCGCAGAUAUCAGGAGGAACACCGGUGGCGAAGGCGGAUCUCUGGGCCGUACCUGACACUGAUGCGCGACAGCAUGGGGAGCAAACAGG
rnacentral:rRNA from 1 species